rnacentral:lncRNA from 1 species
UUUUUCCAACUCAUUCCUCUUGUUCUUUCCUAAAAUUUUAAUUAUAUAAUCUAUAAUUUUCUAUACAUAACUUUUUAUAUAACUAAAAUUACAUAUAUUAAAUAUAAAUUUUAAUUUUAUAACAUUUAUCACUUAAAAAUAAGUUGUACAAUAAAAAUUAAAAAAUAAAUUAAUAGACUUUAAUUUAAUUACUUACUUUAAUAAAUUUAAAAUUACGAUAAUUGUAUGAAAUAUAUUAACUGAAUGUAUAAAUGAGGUAUUCAAAAUUUAAAGUCAAAAUAUCGUUGAUCGACUCAAAUCAAAUAAAUUAAAAAAUUAAAUAAUAAAACGAAAAUAUUGAAAAGUAAAAUAAUCGAUUCAAAAUGAUCUAUUUGGUUUUAAUAUUAAACUUCAAUA